AUUAGUGAGCAUUCGUAAUGAGGCACAGUAGGAGGAAACAAAAAAGCAGAUAAAAGCUGACACAGACCAGAUGCCUCUCUCAGCUGCUGCAGCACCAAUAGAAAGUGUGGGUAAAUGUCAGGUGAAUGAGAGAAACCAGGACAUAGCCAAACAGCUUGCCAGAAUUUGAUCAUAGGCUACUUACAUAGGGGCUUUGAAAAUUUCCUGCCCUCAGGAUAUUAACAUUUCUCUGAGCUUUCCAAGUAUCCUGCAGCUCAAGGAAGACGUUGAGAAGGAGCUCAUUUGCAUUACAAAAAUACUGGGCAGUGUGGGAAACACUGGCUGAAGGAAGACCAACAGAAAAUACCACCCUCAGGGAGCACAGCACACGAACAACAAAUGACUAAGAAAAUCCUGCCUCCCAUCACCUCUUCACCAGGAUGUUCUGCCCACCCUUGAGACUUCUUGUUCUCAGGCUCUCUCUUAGUCCCCCAGGGAGAUAAAAGGAAGCAACUGUUUAUUAACAGAGCAUCCAAAUGUGAAAGAGCUGCAGAAAGCAAAUUGGACUGAGGCAUUCCCUGCAUGAGUUGUGAUAAUCCUGCCUAGAAGACUGUUUUUGAAGAACGAAGCCAAAAGCAGCAAAAAGUUCCACGUAGCCAAGCACUGGGAAACAUUCAGAGAAAUACAGCGUUUCCACGUCAGAUUCAGUAACUGCUCCUUUUUUUGUGUAAUCAGCCUGUGACCCCAGGAAGCUAGGCACAAGCAUUAAGGUGAUUUAAUCUAGGGCUGCUUUUCUGCAUGUUCUGCUCUGGGGAGGCCUUUGAGUUACUGCUUACAUACCUGACUUGCAUUAAUCUUCUCCAGCUAGGUAAGGCCCUUCCUUUGCUUCUAAUAGCUGCACAGGCCUCUCUUUCCCCCUCUCCAGGGGCAGUACCUUGGCCCCCAGAGCAGCCAGGGAGGUCAGUGUGCCCCUGGGCCCUGUGAGGCACCCGUGAGCCACCCAUGCCCACAGGUGGGUGGCAGAAGGCACUGGGUAUCGAAAGAGACAGAAAUAAAGUUUGGGAGAGGAAGUUCAAAAAUAGCUGACCUUUUCCUGUAAGUCUGUUUUUUUGUUUCAUUUGUUGUUUUUGUUUUAGAUGCUUUUUUUCCCUUCCACAGCAGGAGAAGCAGGAAAGGAAGAGGCUUUGGGAAACAGGUGAGGGAAUAAAAGGUCUUUUAAAGCAAAUAGAGGUGGAAAAGAGAAUGCUUUUCUGAGGAAUGACAGCAAGGACAAGAGCUUCCCCUAGAUAGCUAUCAGACUUCAAUUAUAAAGAAAGAAAGAACAGAAACCAAGAACUGCAGGAAAACCUCCUUCCUCUUCCCCAAAAGAUGGGCAAUGUGGCCCUGUGCACAGCUGGGGCAGGGCUGCACCAUCCCCAUGGCCACACAGAGCCACCAGGGGUCAGCUAGACAAACCACCACAGCACGUGUGCCAGCGGUCACGUUGGAGGUGGUAAAGGAGCAGAGAUCAUCGUUAGGCCAGGGAUGGAACUGCAUUUCCUACCAUGGAUUAAUUAACAUCUGGUGUACAUGUAGCUACCACCUCAAUCAAAUGUGUCUGUUACACGUGGACCAUGUUCCACCCAUGGGGCCUAGCACAACCCUCUCCUGGGGACAGGAGCAGCAGCCAGCAUCACACUGAGUGUGUUCCCAGGAAGUUCACUAGUGACGGGGGGAGGGAGGCCUCUCCCGCAACCCCCAGCCACAUCUUCACUGAGUUCUGCUCUUGUCACCUCAGAGAGGGUCAUGAUACAGAGGGUCAUGAUACAUCUCUGCUCUGUGCCGUACAAGGCAGCGCUGUGCGAGGGCCAAUGCCUCCGGACCCCAUUACCACAGUGUGCUCGCCCCUCAGCCCCAUGUCCCACCCUGACACGGUGCUGCUCGGUGUGUCCCCGC